AUGAACGCUGGCGGCGUGCCUAAUACAUGCAAGUCGAGCGCACAGACGAGGAGCUUGCUCCUCUGACGUUAGCGGCGGACGGGUGAGUAACACGUGGAUAACCUACCUAUAAGACUGGGAUAACUUCGGGAAACCGGAGCUAAUACCGGAUAAUAUAUUGAACCGCAUGGUUCAAUAGUGAAAGACGGUUUUGCUGUCACUUAUAGAUGGAUCCGCGCCGCAUUAGCUAGUUGGUAAGGUAACGGCUUACCAAGGCGACGAUGCGUAGCCGACCUGAGAGGGUGAUCGGCCACACUGGAACUGAGACACGGUCCAGACUCCUACGGGAGGCAGCAGUAGGGAAUCUUCCGCAAUGGGCGAAAGCCUGACGGAGCAACGCCGCGUGAGUGAUGAAGGUCUUCGGAUCGUAAAACUCUGUUAUUAGGGAAGAACAAAUGUGUAAGUAACUAUGCACGUCUUGACGGUACCUAAUCAGAAAGCCACGGCUAACUACGU
rnacentral:rRNA from 1 species